rnacentral:lncRNA from 1 species
GUAGAUCUUCAAACUACUCCUACAGAAAUUGCUGCCAGCUAAAAUACCGAGUAUUUUUUAAACCUCACAAUAAUAUCUGCUUAUCUACAAUACAGAAAACGUAGAGCCUGUUACAGGGUUCAAUUAUUUCUUAUUUGCAUGGACCUCCUCCUUAUGGAGAAGACAACAAACAGGAAAUUGCAGAGAUGCAAACAAACUGGUUUGGCAGAUGAUGGGAAAGGAACAGCUGUGUCAUCAUAUUUAAGCUGAACAUCUGAGGCAAAAGAAACCUGAUUCCUAAGGCAGCUGAGCAGCACCUAGGAGGUGUUGUUGUAGACUUCCUUAAUUUGGUGUUGAGCCUCACUGUGCUUCAGGUACUGCCAUACUCUUUUUUUUGCUGAGUCUUCCAGCAGGAACUGAAAACUAUGUAUCUGUUCCUCCUUUCCAUUCUAUAUUUGCCUCUGAAACCCACUAGCAGCCAAGAAGUUAUAUUUGGCCAUAACCAUUUCACUGAGUAUCAAGUGGGCAACAUGAACCUGAUCCUCUCUGUCCCACAUGGUGGGUCAAUGGAACCUGAAGACAUCCCUGACCGAGAGGCUGGCUGUUGGGAUGCAGAGACAUCUUCUUGUAUUUUCUCUCAUGAGUGUCCUCCUGGAAGCAUUCAAAAUUAUGACAAGUAGGUUCAAGAUGGAUGCCAACAGGGAAAAGGAAGAGGCCACCUUUGGAGUUCCCCAAGCAGAACAGGCCUGGGAGGAUUACAUGGGGUUUUUGACCACUGCAAAAUCACAGAUGACAGGGGGCCUGAUUCUGGAUAUCCAUGGACAAGCACAUCCCGAACAGUGGAUAGAAUUAGGUUAUACACUUUCAAAAACUUCUCUUAACUCGGGUGACAUUUCUGCUUCAAAUUCCUCCAUUAGACAUCUGUCCAAUCAGCUAGUUGGUGUGUCUUUUGAGACUUUGCUUGCAGGGAACAGAAGUUUGGGUAAAUAUAUUGAAGAACAAAAUAACAGUUACAUUUGUGUGCCUUCUCUAUCCAAUCCAAGCCCCAAAAAUGGGAACUAUUAUAGUGGUGGAUAUAUAACGCAGACUUUCGGCUCCCGACAUUCUGGUGUUGUUGAUGCUAUUCAGAUUGAACUGCCACAGUGGGUGAGGGCACCUAAAGAACUUCCCAAAUUCUGUAAAGCACUAGCAAAGGCUGUAAUGAAAUUCUGGCAAACUAACUACUGCAGCCAGCUCAAGCACGGGUUUCUGCCGUGCUGA